UACGGGGGGAGCAAGCGUUGUUCGGAUUUACUGGGCGUAAAGGGCGCGUAGGCGGUCGUGACAAGUCACUUGUGAAAUCUCUGGGCUUAACUCGGAACGGUCAAGUGAUACUGUCGGACUAGAGUACAGAAGGGGCAACUGGAAUUCUCGGUGUAGCGGUGAAAUGCGCAGAUAUCAGGAGGAACACCGGUGGCGAAGGCGGGUCUCUGGGCCGUAACUGACGCUGAGGAGCGAAAGCAUGGGGAGCGAACAGG
rnacentral:rRNA from 1 species